rnacentral:lncRNA from 1 species
CAGUAAUCUUAUCAACCAGAGGUUGCCAUUGAGCAACUGAUAACUUUUUGGCAGUUAAAGGGGCUCCCAGAUAUUUGAAAGGAAGAUUCCCCUUAACAUAACCAAGAAGAUCAAGAAUUUGUUGUUGACUCUCAUUUGGCACCCCACCAAAAUACACAGCACUUUUGUGUAGAUUAGCCUUAAGCCCAGUAGCAGCAAGAAA